UAUGAAGGGGGCUAGCGUUGUUCGGAAUUACUGGGCGUAAAGCGCACGUAGGCGGAUCGAUCAGUCAGGGGUGAAAUCCCAGAGCUCAACUCUGGAACUGCCUUUGAUACUGUCGAUCUAGAGUAUGGAAGAGGUGAGUGGAAUUCCGAGUGUAGAGGUGAAAUUCGUAGAUAUUCGGAGGAACACCAGUGGCGAAGGCGGCUCACUGGUCCAUUACUGACGCUGAGGUGCGAAAGCGUGGGGAGCAAACAGG
rnacentral:rRNA from 1 species